rnacentral:tRNA from 1 species
GCCUAGAUGGCUCAAUGGUUGAGCACCUGCCUUUGGCUCAGGUCAUGAUCCUGGGAUCAAGUCCCGCAUUGGGCU